rnacentral:lncRNA from 1 species
AGGGAAGGGCUAAACCCUUGCUUGCUCCACAGAGGAGGCAUAUUACUUUUCUCUUACUUUUGCAGGGACACCAUAUAUUUGGGGAUGCUGAAAACUUAACCAACAAAAGACCUCUGCUCCCCAAUUUGGAAAGGGCAUUAGGUAUAAUGCUAUUUCUGGUUGCUUCUUGUUUUUGUUUUUAACCAUAUUUUAUAGCCAAACAGAAAUCGCUGCAUAACUUCAGAAGAUGUUUCCUUGAAACAUCUGAAGUAUGUGGUUGUGAAGUAUGAAGCUGGUGAAGUAUGUGGUCACCCUGCAGAAGUGAACAACACAACAGUUUCAUUUCUUCCUUCCUAAUCACUGCUUCUUGUGAACGAACCUCUUGGGGUCCUGAAGUGCCACGGACUGCGGAGAAUUCAGACAGAGGCCAUGUUAAAAAGAACUGUGGUCGCUAGGGGACCCGCAACCAAUUAGAAUGACCUUUCACCCAGGUGCAGUCUGACUACCUUGCACCCGGAUACAGUCUAACCGGACUGAAGUCAGCCAUGAGCAAACCGGGAAGUGAAUAGACCUUAAAGUUCACUGUGGUAACUAAGUUCAAUACAACAUCCUAAAAGGUCUAAGCAUAUUUUAUUUUUAAGGCUUAAAAUAACAUCCAGUUCAACUUCAAAAACAUUGAGUUAACAUGUAAAGACAGCUUUAAAAAAAAAACUAUGUAAAAUUUCCAUUACAUGAUACGUGCUGUCUUUAAGUAAAGAUAAAAGGGUACAUUUCUUUAAUAUUACAUACCUUGGGACA